UACGAAGGGGGCUAGCGUUGCUCGGAAUCACUGGGCGUAAAGGGUGCGUAGGCGGGUCUUUUAAGUCAGGGGUGAAAUCCUGGAGCUCAACUCCAGAACUGCCUUUGAUACUGAAGAUCUUGAGUUCGGGAAAGGUGAGUGGAACUGCGAGUGUAGAGGUGAAAUUCGUAGAUAUUCGCAAGAACACCAGUGGCGAAGGCGGCUCACUGGCCCGAUACUGACGCUGAGGUGCGAAAGCGUGGGGAGCAAACAGG
rnacentral:rRNA from 1 species